AGAGGAGAGGAGGAGGAGAGAAGAAAGGAGAAAGAGGAGGGAAAAGAUAAAACCUAAAAAAUAAAAAAUAAAUAUCACUUUGAAAGAGGCACGCCUUGGCUAUAUAGGUGCUCGCCUCUUGGAAUUGGGGCGUGCCAUGCCAGGUCGCCAGUGCCUUUUGGCGCCUUUAACAACAUUGGGGUAUGGUGUCUAGAUGAGAACAAUAUGUAGGGUUUACUUUGAGCAAUACAUCAUUCCUAAAUAAAGCUGUAUCAGUUGAAGUUCUAAAACACAAGUGUGAUGUUUUCUGUGAGAUUUCAAGAAACAAAGGUGUCACUUAGCUUACUAAAGUUUCAUUAUACUUAGCUUGUACUUAAGUUUCAUUAUAUUAGAAAUUGG
rnacentral:misc_RNA from 1 species